AUUGAACGCUGGCGGCAUGCUUUACACAUGCAAGUCGAACGGCAGCGCGGGCUUCGGCCUGGCGGCGAGUGGCGAACGGGUGAGUAAUGCGUCGGAACGUGCCCAGUAGUGGGGGAUAGCCCGGCGAAAGCCGGAUUAAUACCGCAUACGACAUGAGGGUGAAAGCGGGGGACCGAAAGGCCUCGCGCUAUUGGAGUGGCCGAUGUCGGAUUAGCUAGUGGGUGGGGUAAAGGCUUACCAAGGCGACGAUCCGUAGCUGGUCUGAGAGGAGGACCAGCCACACUGGGACUGAGACACGGCCCAGACUCCUACGGGAGGCAGCAGUGGGGAAUUUUGGACAAUGGGGGCAACCCUGAUCCAGCCAUGCCGCGUGCGGGAAGAAGGCCUUCGGGUUGUAAACCGCUUUUGUUCGGGAAGAAAUCCUCUGGGCUAAUACCCCGGGGGGAUGACGGUACCGGAAGAGUAAGCACCGGCUAACUACGUG
rnacentral:rRNA from 1 species